CCUCAUCGGAGAGUACGUUAUGAGAUGUGAUUCUUUGAUUUUGAAGCAGUUGAAGAUGCUGUAGUAACUUAUUCAAUUCAACAAGUUCCCCUUGAAUAGGUACAGAAGUCCAUGAGUCUUCUUCUAAUAGACUCAAAUUGUUUUGAAUGAUGUCAAUAUCGAUUGACUUCUCGACAGGUGCCUCUUUGUAAUGACUAGAUGCCCGAUAACAAGCAACAGAAUGAAAUGAAGAAUCAGGAAUAACAGAAGAAGAUGAAUUUUUGUAAGGAGCAAUUGAGGAGAAGGGGCCAGACUGUAGGUACUUCACAGUAGGAAGUUUAGCCAAUGAAGGAUUAAAUUCUAUAACUGAUGCAGGAGGUUUGGCGGUUGAGGGGGGGGAUAACUUAUCCAAGGUGUACUCUUGGGAAUUAGCAACGGAUGGAGUUGGCAAAAGGGCAACUGGCUUUGCAAUUAUUCCUCCAUCUGGUAAUCGACUGUCUAAUCGGGAAGUUCGAGCAGUAGAACUGAACAAAGGACCAGCAGAACCGACCAUAAACAAAGCGUGUGACCUGAAUUGUGGUU